rnacentral:rRNA from 1 species
UGAGGAAUAUUGGUCAAUGGGCGGGAGCCUGAACCAGCCAAGUCGCGUGAGGGAAGACGGUCUUACGGAUUGUAAACCUCUUUUGCCGGGGAGCAAAGGGCGCCACGCGUGGCGUUUCGAGAGUACCCGGGAAAGAAAGCGCGAUAUCCGUGCCAGCAGCCGCGGUAAUACGGAGGAUGCGAGCGUUAUCCGGAUUUAUUGGGUUUAAAGGGUGCGUAGGCGGGCCGGUAAGUCAGCGGUAAAAUAGCGGGGCUCAACCCCGUCGAGCCGUUGAAACUGCCGGUCUUGAGUGGGCGAGAAGUGCGCGGAAUGCGUGGUGUAGCGGUGAAAUGCAUAGAUAUCACGCAGAACCCCGAUUGCGAAGGCAGCGCACCGGCGCCCUACUGACGCUGAAGCACGAAAGCGUGGGGAUCGAACAGGAUUAGAUACC